AUGAUGAUGAUGAUGAUGAUGAUGAUGGAGGUGUUGUGCCCCAAAAGAUUCAUGAUGAAAUGAAAAUGAAAUACCACCAACUGCAAAGAAAGCAUCAGGCUCUAACACUAGACCUGGACCAAUGCAAGCAAAAAUCCACAGAAUUGGAGAAUAAUAAGAGUGAGUUGGAACAGGAGGUGGUCACAUACAGAGAGGCAAACCUGACUUUGCAAAACAAUAUCGAUAAACUCCUGAAAGAGGUCUUUUCUCAAAGAUCUGUGACCUCUCGAACCUGUGAGCCAGCCAUUCCACCACUGACACCACCAGGGCAAAACACCACUUCAGAGAGGGAGCCCGAUCAGCCGAUCCAUUGCCCAAGGCAUAUGUAAAAAAAGGAUGGGAAGAUCCACAUUGGAACAGACAUUUGGCUGCGAGAAGAGGUGUGGAGAAAAAUUGAUUCCACAACAAAGGACUCGCUCUUUGUGAAGGAGUUGGCUGUAGCCAUAUGGGGUACAGCAGAGUUAAUGGGAAGAAGUGUGUCUGGAAAGGAAUGCCCGAGCAAAACGACCGAAGCAAAGCCUCCCUUAACCCCAUGCAAGCUUGGGACCGUAAAAGAGUGCUUCAGAGGAUGGCUGAUCAAGCAAAACGUGGAGAAGACCGAGAGGGAGAAGAGGGAGAAGUUGGCCGGUUACUUCAUUUCGCAAAAAAUACAGGACCUCUUGAAAAAGGGGAAGAAACAGUUGAAAUACAAAUCUGAAGGAAUGGGUGUUUGAUGUUUUCCAAUUUGUAUUAAUGUUCAUGUUGUGUGUUAUAAAUGAUGUUCCUGCUUCUAAUCA